rnacentral:rRNA from 1 species
GACGAACGCUGGCGGCGUGCUUAACACAUGCAAGUCGAACGGAAAGGCCUGCUUUCCCUUGUGGAUUGCGGGUACUCGAGUGGCGAACGGGUGAGUAACACGUGAGUGAUCUGCCCCCAACUUGGGUAUAAGCCUGGGAAACUGGGUCUAAUUCCCGAUAGGACUGCAGGGUGGUGCCUGUGGUGGAAAACGAUUUUCUAGUGGUUGGGGAUGAGCUCGCGGCCUAUCAGCUUGUUGGUGGGGUAAUGGCCUACCAAGGCGGCGACGGGUAGCCGGCCUGAGAGGGUGGACGGCCACAUUGGGACUGAGAUACGGCCCAGACUCCUACGGGAGGCAGCAGUGGGGAAUAUUGCACAAUGGGCGGAAGCCUGAUGCAGCGACGCCGCGUGGGGAUGACGGCCUUCGGGUUGUAAACUCCUUUCGACCGCGAGGAAGCCACCUGGUUGGAAGGGUGGUGACGGUAGUGGUAGAAGAAGCACCGGCUAACUACGUG